rnacentral:misc_RNA from 1 species
AGCCAACCCAAAUUGACAUGUUAAUAUAUUUUUCUCUUCUUCAUUUUGGUUAAUUGGCAAUGGCAAAUACUGACAUUGACAUCCCCGUAGGCGAUUUGUUUGCUGAUAGUGAUGGCGAAGAGAAACUAUUCUCCUUCAAGGUGGGAUUGGCACAACUAAUGCUUCGAUCAGGGGGUGGAGUCGUUGUUGAGGUGACCAAUACAGAAGAGGCAACAAUUGCAGAGGAAGCUGGGGCUGCUUGCUGCGUUUUUAGUGGAAGGCUCAUGCUUGAUUUACCUAUCGUCAGGAAAAUCAAGCGGGCUGUCUCAAUUCCUGUCAUGGUUAGAAUCCGUGCUGGUCAUUUCGUUGAAGCCUGGAUUCUGGAAGCAAUUGGCGUAGAUUUCGUGGAUGAGAGUGAACUUCUCGGAAAUGCUUUUAGCAGAAACUACAUCAAUAAGCAUUAUUUUCGUGCACCAUUUGCUUGUGGGUGCAAAAAUCUGGAAGAAGCAUUAGCAAGAAUCGUGGAAGGUGCAGCCAUAAUUUGGAUCCAGGGGAAGGAAUCUUCGUUGGAAGGGACAGCUGAGAAUGUGAGGUCAAUAAUGCAAACAACAACCGACUUAGCACGAGCCAACGAAGACGAGGUUUCUGCAUUUGCAGAGGAGAUGGAGGUGUCUUAUGAUCUCGUAGCACAAAUAAAGGAAAUGGGUAAGCUUCCAGUAGUUCAAAUUGCGAUGGGAGGCAUUGAGAGUCCUGCUGAUGCAGCGCUGAUGAUGCAAUUGGGUUGCGAUGGUGUGUGUGUGAGAUCAAAAUUUUUUCAAUACCCAGAUUCCUAUUUAUGGAACCCAUUUAGGCGACUUCGAGCAAUAGUUGAGGCUGUUAAGCACUAUAACAAUCCACUUGUGUUAGCGGAAUGCAUUAACUGGAUGAUGAAGAAUGAGGAUGAUGAAGAUGAUGAUAAUGAAGAUUUAACCUGAUUCAUGUCUCUCUGAGUUAGGGAAAAUUUCUAGGCUUGUGAAAAGAAAAUUUCCAUCUUUACAUCCGAUUGUGAACGAGAAGAAUCAAAUCCAAUCUGAAAAUAUUCAAAAUAUUUGUGUAUGAUUGAUUUAACAAUUAAUCUAUA